rnacentral:tRNA from 1 species
AUGUUUAUAUAUUAUUAUAGAUAUAUUAAUUAAGAUAAUUAGUAUUAAAUAUAAAGUAUAAUUAAGAAUAGUAUUUAUUAUCAGUAAAAUGUUAAGAAUAAAGCAUUAGGCUAAGUCUAUUAUUAUUGUACUUAAGUUAGGCUGAUAUUAUAUAAAUUAUAAAAUAAGUCACUUUCUUAUAAAAAUAGAAGUUAAUUAAAGAAAUUAUUAAUUAAUUUGAAUAUAAUAUCACCUUAUUUAGAUUUU